CUUACCGCCCGGCAAUAAACAUGCAAGUCGAGCGGACAGAAGGGAGCUUGCUCCCGGAUGUUAGCGGCGGACGGGUGAGUAACACGUGGGUAACCUGCCUGUAAGACUGGGAUAACUCCGGGAAACCGGAGCUAAUACCGGAUAGUUCCUUGAACCGCAUGGUUCAAGGAUGAAAGACGGUUUCGGCUGUCACUUAAAGAUGGACCCGCGGCGCAUUAGCUAGUUGGUGGGGUAAUGGCUCACCAAGGCAACGAUGCGUAGCCGACCUGAGAGGGUGAUCGGCCACACUGGGACUGAGACACGGCCCAGACUCCUACGGGAGGCAGCAGUAGGGAAUCUUCCGCAAUGGACGAAAGUCUGACGGAGCAACGCCGCGUGAGUGAUGAAGGUUUUCGGAUCGUAAAGCUCUGUUGUUAGGGAAGAACAAGUGCGAGAGUAACUGCUCGCACCUUGACGGUACCUAACCAGAAAGCCACGGCUAACUACGUGCCAGCAGCCGCGGUAAUACGUAGGUGGCAAGCGUUGUCCGGAAUUAUUGGGCGUAAAGGGCUCGCAGGCGGUUUCUUAAGUCUGAUGUGAAAGCCCCCGGCUCAACCGGGGAGGGUCAUUGGAAACUGGGAAACUUGAGUGCAGAAGAGGAGAGUGGAAUUCCACGUGUAGCGGUGAAAUGCGUAGAGAUGUGGAGGAACACCAGUGGCGAAGGCGACUCUCUGGUCUGUAACUGACGCUGAGGAGCGAAAGCGUGGGGAGCGAACAGGAUUAGAUACCCUGGUAGUCCACGCCGUAAACGAUGAGUGCUAAGUGUUAGGGGGUUUCCGCCCCUUUAGUGCUGCAGCUAACGCAUUAAGCACUCCGCCUGGGGAGUACGGUCGCAAGACUGAAACUCAAAGGAAUUUGACGGGGGCCCGCACAAGCGGUGGAGCAUGUGGUUUAAUUCGAAGCAACGCGAAGAACCUUACCAGGUCUUGACAUCUUCUGACAACCCUAGAGAUAGGGCUUUCCCUUCGGGGGACAGAGUGAACAGGUGGUGCAUGGUUUGUCGUCAGCCUCGUUGUCGUGAGAUGUUGGGUUUAAGUCCCGCAACGAGGCGCACCUGAUCCUUAGGUUGCCAAGCCAUUUAGCUUGGCACUUCUAGGGUGGCACUGCGGUGACAAAACCGGAAGGAAAGGCUGGGC
rnacentral:rRNA from 1 species